UUUUACUGCACUGUCAGUGUCAGUACUAACGUUAAGACUGUCGCCAGUGAGCAAGACUCUCUAGAAAUCUUGCAAACUGCGAAAAGAAGUUAUUCGACGAACUUCCCAAUAUGUUUUUGAGAUAUCAAGCUUUCAAGUUGGCAAAAUUGGUGAUCCUUUUAUCCUGCUCAGCUUCAGGAAAAUGGAUUGCAGCAAGAUGAGGUCCUCAUCAGUGGUUAUUCAUUCGAUUUGCAAACUGCUAGACCAAAACCAGCAAGUGGAGAUGUGUUUACGACAAAAGCCGGCCAGAAUACCAGAUGCCAAUGGCAUCCUUGAAUUUCCAAAUAACAAGGAUCUGGAGAGCUGCCAAAUACUUACACUUCUAGGAGGGGUUUUCCUGAAAGGCUUUCCAAGAGAUCAUUCAUUGCAACCAGCCAGCCAAACAAGACAGAGCAAACAUCAGGAUUUCCGAUCAGUAGGUCUCAACCCCUCCACUGUAACUUGCCAGCAGUCUGCAACCCGCCAGAACAGUAAAAGAUUAUCAUCAGAAAGGAAACAAGCAUCUGUGUCAUCAUCUCUCUGUCUUCAACUUGAAAGGACUUUAUUCGUCAACAAUGGAGUAGUCUUUAGCACAAGGAGACCAAGCAAGUGGAUGAAGACCUGGAGCAGGUGAUGCCGGCACUUCUUCACCAUCAUCCCAUGCCACAUCUACCACCUUCAUAACUUGGAGCCAUGUCGCCACCUCCGACCUCAACAACUUUGUUGUUGAUAAUGAGUUACACAGAUCACACACAGUCACUGAACAUCAGCUGCCUCACAAGAUGUUCACACCACUGCUGGUGGCCGAGGUUUUGAAGCACGCUAAGAAGUCCUCAUCUGAGUUGCCUUUUUUAAAUGUGAUCCGAAUAGCACUGGUGGGGAAACUCCACGUGACGUGUCCCCGAGAACAUUGGAAAUACAGCUGAUGUAUCAAACGAUCCGCUGGAUCCUCUGUCAGUCCACUGUAGCAAAGUCACAGUCACAGCAGGGCACAUAUUACACACCUCACAGAGUUUGCUCAGCCAGGGGUCGGGACUACAGGUAGUAUAGCAGAUUUUACCUGAGGAUAAGGUUAUGAAAGGGGUAACCUUGUUCCCUUAGACUUGAUCAUGUUGGUCCAUGAAUUCCUGAAUAAUGAAACAAGUAGGUAUCUCGAAAAGUGAAAAGUUUUGCUCAACCAGGGGUCGAGGACUGGUAUAGAAGAUUUCACCUGGGGAUGAGGUUACCAAGGGGGCAACCUUGUUCACUUGGUCCAUGACUUCCUGAAUAAUGAAACAAGUAGAUACCUCGAAGAGUUUUGCUCAGACAGGGGUCGGAGACUAGUAUACAAGAUUUCACCCGGGGAUCAGGUUACAAAGGUGGUAACCUUGUUCCCUUGAACUUAGACCAUGACUUCCUGAAUAAUGAAACAAGUACAGGUGUAGGUGCCUCGAAUAUACCCUGAGGAUAAGGUUAUAUACCUGAGGAUAAGGCUAUGAAAAAGGUGGUAACCUUGUUCCCUUAAACUUGGUCAUGUUGGUCCAUGACUUCCUGAAUAAUGAAACAAGUAAGUGCCUCGAAGAGUUUUGCUCAGACAGGGGGCGGAGACUAGUAUAUAAGAUUUCACAUGGGGAUAAUGUUACAGGUGGUAACCUUGUUCCUUUGAACUUGGUUCAUGUCUUACUAUAUACUGUAACAGGUACAUGUAGGUGAGUGGAAGUUAAGUAAGCCCCGACUAUAGGCCAAAGGAAUAUAUUAGGAAAUUUCAAGGGAAGCAAUGCACCUGAAUGCAAAUUGUUCACCCCCUAGUCUGGGUGAUACAUAUUGGCAUCCAAAAUGGAUGUACAGUGGUAAGUCAUACAGUGGUAAGUCAUACGUGUAGAAAAAUCUUAUUAGUCAAUUGAAAUGGAGGAGUCGGGUUGGCAUAGCGGUACUUUCCUCGCCUUCCACCACUGUGACCGGGUUUGAUUCCUGCCUGGGCCAAUUAUGCGGAUUGGGUUUUCAGUCUGUGGGUUUUCCCUAGAACAUCAUUCUGGGGUUUUCCUCCCUCCCUAAAACUGUACUUUCCUUCCAUGUCUUGUACCAAGUCUUAUCCAUCCUAUUCUGGUGCUUACGCUGUUGGAUGUUGUGGAAAUAAUUAAAACAAAAGAGUCAAUAAAAUAAAUAGAUGCAUUGAAGCAGAGCAUCCGUGUGGUAUUUACGUGGGGGAAAAAAAGCUAUACUCGAAGGUGCAAGUCCUCUUGCAAUUGCCUAAUGUCAGGCUUUUCUUAAGAUAUUGGCACCAUGCAUGUGUAUAGGUUUCCUUUAUACCUCAAAUUUCAGGGAAAAUGUCUGAGCCCACUUUAUGCAUCCCUGAUAAUAAUAAUGUACAUAAUGCAUAAAACGGACAUCUCAGGCAAAAAAAAUGUCAAGUUCUGACUCGCAUCCCCAUUUAAAAAUUAAUAUUCGAGCGGGAGUGCCUAUCAACACAGUCCUGGAAUAUCCUACCAGACAAGAAGCUGGUCAGGAAAAACUAAGAAAACAAAGUGCAGAAUUCUUCAGCCAGACACUAUCGUUUAUUCGCCCCUGAAAUGAUACAUGGAGCAUUGAUUGACAAAACCUGAAACUCCGGACAUAGCGGGGAUUCCAUCAGCAUUACCAGAUAUGACUUCACUAAUUAGACCUCAUGCAAGCCUUGGAUUGUAACCGGAGGUGGCAUAUCUUGAUAGUAGCCCUGAAGCUUUAAUUAUCUAAGAGUAUUUGGACUUCGUAGCUACAUGAAGUGACUGAUGAGUGUCUGAUUUCUCAUUUUAACUUCUCAGUUUCGA
rnacentral:misc_RNA from 1 species